GCUAGGCAUGGUGGUGCAUGCCUGUAAUCCCAGCUACUGGGGAGGCUGAAGCAGGAGAAUGGCUUGAACCCAGGAGGUGGAGGUGGCAGUGAGCCGAUUGUGCCACUGCACUCCAUCCUGGGUGACAGAGCAAGACUCUGUCUCAA
rnacentral:SRP_RNA from 1 species